AUUCUCUAGACUGGUGAUUUGACGCUCACCAAUUUGCUAGAAAUGGGAAAGCAGAAAAAGGUCACAUAUAUUUAGAAGCAAAUGCACCAUGUAGAUGAUAUAAAAUUAUUCAAUCGUAAACAGAACAAGGAUUAGGAGAAGACAAUCAUUUGAAUUUAACUGCUGAUUAAAAAUAGGUGAGGAACCUGAAUCAGAAGAUGCUUAGCAGCACAACCGCGUGGACGAUGCAACUCAAUCUGCCAGAUGUUUUCAUAGGAAAGUUCGAUCAUAUACUCCAGAGCGUCAUAUUUCAGACGACAAACUAGUUUCCGCAAUCCAAUCCCAAAAUCCACUGAAACAUUGUUCAUAUUCCAGAAACUAAAUAGCUUAUUUGUUGCGAUCUUGCAGCCAAAAUCCAGCUUUAUGUUUUCAAAGGUAUGCAAAGAGCCUCUUGGCUUUGGUACAAUAUCCUGAUCCAGCUUCCAAGAAUUCAGAUAGGAAGCGCCAUAGUACAAGUUUCUAGCACUGGCCAUGUAGUGAAUAAGAUCAGCAUUUUUGGUGGUGUCAAACUGAACAGUAGCAUAAUAUCUUCUCCCAUCUUUGGCUUUUCUUAAUCUCACAGCAUAGACAGAUCCUUUUCCUGUUUCUUUCUCCAGCAACCGCACAACUGCUUCUGCAGUCACACCGGAAGUGAAUCCAUGCAACCUUAUCGUCCUACUCAUCUCUUAUCAUGUGAAUAUGUUCACUGUAUUUACGCUGACAAAGAAUCCAUAUGAGUAAAAUGUACUUGUAUGGUUUUAUUGAAAUUAUGAAAUUAAGGGCUCGUUUGGGAGAGCUUUUUAAAUGACUAAAAGCGCAUUUGGGGAAAAUGUUUUUGGGUUCCAAAAGCACUUAAACUGCUUCCUACGAGUAGUGGUGCUUCUUGUAGGAAGCACUUCAAGUGCUCUUCCACCAGUUAUGUGCUUGUUUUAGGAAGCAGUACUUCAAGUGUUUUUCCAAAAUUCACCCGCAUUUUUACUAAAGGUUGGUUCCAAAAAUAUUUUUUCACAAAACGCUUUCAGCUAUUUUAAGACAAUAGCAGUUCCAACCGAAAACCAGAAAGUCUCAAUGAAUCCAAGAAAAUACAACAACAACAAAGCCUUUUCCCACUAAGUGGGGUCGGCUAUGUGAAUCCUAGAACGCCAUUGCGCUCGGUUUUGUGUCAUGUCCUCCGUUAGAUCCAAGUACUCUAAGUCUUUUCUUAGGGUCUCUUCCAAAGUUUUCCUAGGUCUUCCUCUAACCAAGAAAAUAAAUUGAAAUUAUUAAGCUAAGAACAAUUAUGAACCUCAUAAACCAAAGCCACUCAAAUGCAAAACAUGCAACAACCUAACAAGUAUAUGAUUAUUUUUAGGGGAUCAACAAUCAGAAAGAACACGAUGAUAAUUCUGCUCUACAAAAAAAUAAAAGCAAAACAACCAAAAAGGAGAGGCCUUUUUUUUUAUGCAAUUGCAGUUGAGAGAAAAUGUGCUUCUUACGAGAAGUUUAAGUGUUUUUCAUGAUUCACUUGCAUUUUUAUUAUAGAUUAGUCCCAAAAACAUUUUUUCACAAAAAAAAAAAAAACGCUCUCAGCUAUUUUAAAAGCAGUUCCAAACGAUCCCUAAGAGAAGCAGAAAGUCUGGAUGUAUCCAAGAAAAGUUAAGGUAAGAACAAAUAUGAACCUCAUAACCCAAAGCCACCCAAAAGCAAAACAUGUAACAACCUAGCAAGUAUAUGAUUAUUUUUUAGAGGAUCAGAUCAACAAUCAGAAAGAACAAGAUGAUAAUUCUGCUAUACAAAAAAGAUGCAAAACAACCAAACAAAGAGAGGCCUUUUGUUAUGCAAUUGCAGUUGAGAGCAAAAGCACAGAUUUUUUCACUGAACAAAACUAAGCACAAAAAUACCCAAUCCAUCCAAAAUUAUAAAAAAUUCAGAACGAAAAAAAACUGGACAAAUACCCCAAUGAAUCUCCCAAUGAUGCAGGAAGAGUAAAGGACACAGAUUUAUCAGAGGGAGAAACCCAAAGAGGAAAUUACACAGGCAAAAAUACCAUCUGCAUAAAAACUUGAUCAAACACAACUAAUCAAUCACACACCAACAAAAACUACAGAGAAAAAACAGAAACUGCAGAGACAAUUAGGGUGCGUUUGGUACGCAGACGGGACGGGACGGAAUAGGACGGAACGGGACGGGACGGAACGGAACGAAGGUGUAAUUUUUUGAAAAAUACAUGGGGUAUAUUUGUCUUAAAAUGGUAAAACAAUGUGUUCCACAGACGUGGAACAAACCCGUUCCAGGGGGAAGUGGGACGCAAAANUUCGAUGGACUCAAGUACAUAACGGUUAUAUGCAUGUUAACUGGAAGAUGUGAUGAUAUUGAUUUUUUCAAUCGAAAUCAGUGUUCUUGAUUUUUACAUUAUAUAAUCUACUGCAAACACAUAAAGACACAGAAUGGAUAUUUUGAACUAAAUUCACGAACUCAUGAUGCAUUACACAUUCUUACCUUGGUCCUUUUUGGGGAAAAACAACACAAUCAACCAUAUGGUACAACUCUGGCACAUCCACAGCCUUUAAAACACGUACAUCGCCAGGGUGCAAACAAGGGUUCUUAGCAACAGCUACCUUCCCCACAAUAAUGAAUCGCUGGUUUGAUGCACUUACAGUAUGCCUGUUACCAGAGAAUUGCACAAACACCUCACCAUAUUCCAAUGUUCUGGUUUCAUCUAGACAUCCCAUCAUUGCUCGUCCAUCUGGAAUAAAGAUUCUUGUUUUCGUCCGCAACUCUAGCAACUUUGAUGCCCGAAAUGUUUGCAGCAUCAUUGAAAUGAAGGGUUCAACAUCAGGUUUAUAACCACAUAUAAGCAAUUCCUUCAAGCAGUUGGUAGUCUCCCCUGCAGACAUCAAAUCCAGAGCCUCUUGUGCUUUUAGUGGGUCAGUCAAUAUAGCAUUCAAUUGUUGUACAGCUGCCUUUUGUUUUUUCAUGAAAGCAGGAUCUGGAACCCCAAGGGUGGAUAAAAGACUUAUCAACUGGCGGUUCAGAAAACAAGGUUGAAUCUUGCUACAUGCUAAAACGUCUAACUUUGUGUUUUCUGAUUCAUACUUGGACAUGCUCCUCCUCAAUGAUAAUUUCAUUGAUGAAGUUGGAUCAACGGCCACCACACCUUUGUACCCACCAUAUCGAAUCUGAAAGGCAGAUGGAGUCCCAUUAAAGCCACAUUUUGAGGCCACUUUCUUAGCAAAAUCAGCAGAUAUUUUCCCAAUCCCAUCGGAGAAGACAUAUUUAUUGUUUUCUACAUCGGGAAUAACUUCCAUUUCAUGUUUUCCAACAUUUAAAGUUUCAGUGGACGAACCAAAGGAUUGACCUAAUCUGGCAGCAUAUUUUGCUACAUUUUUUAUACGACGAAAAUCCCCCAUCCACUCUCUUAUAUUGGCUGCAGUAAGUCCCCGUCUUGAAGCAAACAUCCACAUAGAAUUCUCUCGCAAUUGACUUGAUGAGAAUGCGAGAAACUCGAAUUUCUUUUCACCAAUUACUAUGCCGUUUCUGAGAAUAAAAAGAAUCCGCUUGUAGAUGUCGGUUUUCCCAUCCUCAUAGGCAGCAGAAGUACGUGGAAGCAAAUCUGAAGAAUAAACUCGAUCCAUCUCCUCGUCAACAAAGGAAACACGAAUGAAGUUAUCAAUAUCAUCUGGAUAAUUGCGUAGUACACGAUUUGAGACAUUGACCUCAGGACCAGAAGAAAAUACACGACAUGGUGUAAUUUGGACCCUGCGUACAUAUACCAACCCAGAAUCUAAGGAUAUGACAGAUGACUGUGGACGUCUCUUUGACGUGAGGUACUUCCUGUACUGCUCAUUAAGCCACUCUGAAGGUUUAUAGCAGGUCUCUUUCAAAUUAUAUAAUUUCUCUAGGGCAUACUCUAUACAUGCACGAUCAAAUCUGUGCGGAUCAACCAUCUUAUAAAAUAUAACAUCAAGUGUUGGCCCUGAAAGAUACCCAAGCUGAAGCAGAGAAUGAACUUUAAACAAGAUAUCAUAUGGCACAUACACAUUGACACCUCGAGGAGGACAAACCAUGGGACCCAGACUCGGGUUGCAAGAAUAAGGGGGACCAACCUCCAAGACAAGGUUACCUUCAAUCUCUUCAUACCCAGGAAAGUUUUCUCGAAAAUCUGGAAGUUGGAGACUAUGAGGAAGCUCCAAGCUUAAUGCAAAAGACUGCCCAAUAGCACGUGAUGGAGUGAAAUCAGUAGUCCUGACCCAUUGAUCAUCAGAGUCCAUGAAAUAGGUCAUACCAAGAUCUUCAUAUGCUUGUCCUGAAGAGCGUAUGACUUUCUUAGAAAUCCGAGGUGCUCCGUACAUCUGAUAAUUGGAGACAAAUCAUCAAACUUUUCAAGAUUACUAAUUCAUAAAAGAGAACAUUUAAUUUUUCGCCAACUGCAGUAGCAUGCUUUGACGAUGUUAAUAAAAAAUAUUCCAUUCAUACUAUAUUCUCAGAAUUUUAUCCACUUCCCUCAACACCUCAAAUUGUAGAAACUACAAACUUUUAAAUUCCAUCAAACGAAGAAAAUUGAUUUUUGCUCAAAUCCAGACAAGGAUUACCAUGUUAACCCUUAAAGUGAACAACCCUCAAUUCUCUAGACUGGUGAUUUGACGCUCACCAAUUUGCUAGAAAUGGGAAAGCAGAAAAAGGUCACAUAUAUUUAGAAGCAAAUGCACCAUGUAGAUGAUAUAAAAUUAUUCAAUCGUAAACAGAACAAGGAUUAGGAGAAGACAAUCAUUUGAAUUUAACUGCUGAUUAAAAAUAGGUGAGGAACCUGAAUCAGAAGAUGCUUAGCAGCACAACCGCGUGGACGAUGCAACUCAAUCUGCCAGAUGUUUUCAUAGGAAAGUUCGAUCAUAUACUCCAGAGCGUCAUAUUUCAGACGACAAACUAGUUUCCGCAAUCCAAUCCCAAAAUCCACUGAAACAUUGUUCAUAUUCCAGAAACUAAAUAGCUUAUUUGUUGCGAUCUUGCAGCCAAAAUCCAGCUUUAUGUUUUCAAAGGUAUGCAAAGAGCCUCUUGGCUUUGGUACAAUAUCCUGAUCCAGCUUCCAAGAAUUCAGAUAGGAAGCGCCAUAGUACAAGUUUCUAGCACUGGCCAUGUAGUGAAUAAGAUCAGCAUUUUUGGUGGUGUCAAACUGAACAGUAGCAUAAUAUCUUCUCCCAUCUUUG
rnacentral:lncRNA from 1 species